CGGACGGGUGAGUAAUGCAUCGGAACGUGUCCUCUUGUGGGGGAUAACCAGUCGAAAGAUUGGCUAAUACCGCAUGAGCUCGUAAGAGGAAAGCGGGGGAUCCGUAAGGACCUCGCGCGAGAGGAGCGGCCGAUGCCCGAUUAGCUAGUUGGUGGGGUAACGGCCUACCAAGGCGACGAUCGGUAGCUGGUCUGAGAGGACGACCAGCCACACUGGGACUGAGACACGGCCCAG
rnacentral:rRNA from 1 species